GUCCACGCUGUAAACGAUGGGCACUAGGUGUCGCGGGUAUUGACCCCUGCGGUGCCGCAGCUAACGCAUUAAGUGCCCCGCCUGGGGACUACGGCCGCAAGGUUAAAACUCAAAGGAAUUGACGGGGGCCCGCACAAGCGGUGGAGCAUGUGGUUCAAUUCGACGCAACGCGAAGAACCUUACCCGGGCUAGACAACAGAGGACAACCUUGGAAACAAGGUCUUCCCUUCGGGGACCUCUGGUUCAGGUGCUGCAUGGCUGUCGU
rnacentral:rRNA from 1 species